ACGACAGCAGCCAAAUCAGCAGCAGCAGAUACAACAGCACCCAGUUCAGCAGCAGAACCAAGUCAGUGAAUCAGAUCACAAAACUAUAAACAGCAGUCAGGGGGAAGGUGAUAGGUUGCAGAAUGCGGCAAAACCUGGGCCCUCCAUCUCCCCUCAUUCCCAUUCCCCUGCAAAUCGGUGACUGUAUGUCAAUAUUUCUACAUACCUGCUGGUAACCUGUUAUUUGUUCCCUAUAGUUCCUCCUAUACCAGGUUUCUCUUAUUGAAUCUUAUAUUCUUUUCGUCUUGAGAGUAAAGCAGAAAGUGUAUAUUCUCAAUGCGAUAUGUACUUCAUUAGUGGUAAACACAACUUGUAAAUUUACAUUGCGUAACCUUGUUGAAAAAAACCAUGCAAUCAAGUGAAACACUAACCUACAUGUGAAUGAUGAUUCAAUCUUGUUGCUGACGCUAUUAAAUUUUCUUCUCCUUGUUCUUUCUUACCAAUGAGUCAAUUUUCAGUAGAUUAUGUAACAACUUACUAGUAGCACAUUCGUGAUGCCCUAAAAAUGGUUUAUGUUCUGCCUUCAUCUAUGUGCUGAAUAAGAUUGUUCUACUUAUUGGCA